rnacentral:rRNA from 1 species
UACGGAGGGUGCAAGCGUUAUCCGGAUUUACUGGGUUUAAAGGGUGCGUAGGUGGGCAGGUAAGUCAGUGGUGAAAUCUUCGGGCUUAACCCGGAAACUGCCAUUGAUACUAUUUAUCUUGAAUACUUUGGAGGUAAGCGGAAUAUGUCAUGUAGCGGUGAAAUGCUUAGAUAUGACAUAGAACACCAAUUGCGAAGGCAGCUUACUACACAGUUAUUGACACUGAGGCACGAAAGCGUGGGGAUCAAACAGG